rnacentral:lncRNA from 1 species
AACAUAGUCCUUGUUUCGAGUAUAUUAAAAAAAAGAGAUUCUUUGUCUAGAGCUUGAAUAAAAAAAAAUUUAAUUGAUUGUUUUCGAUUCACCAGAUUUUACCUCUUUUGAAAGAAGUCAAUAAAAAAAUCAAGAUAUGCACUAAUUUAAAUAGAAUUUUCUAAUUUUUUUAUUCUUACUUAUUCUGUUAAAUAUUCCAAAUAUUCAAAUCAAAAAGUUACAAUUAUUCAAAUCAUAUGAAAGAAAAAGAUUAAUUACUAGUCUCUAAAAAUUCAAUUCAAAUUAGCCAUAUUUUUACCUAGUUUGAUAGUUAAUAGAAAAAAAACAUAUUCUUCUUCUUUUUUUUCUAUUUUUAGUAAUAUUUUAUGUCAUUUUCACAUAUCUUUAACCUAUCUCUUGCCCAGAAAAUCAAAAAGUAUUAUGUACAGAGUUUA